rnacentral:rRNA from 1 species
CAGCAGUGGGGAAUUUUGGACAAUGGGGGCAACCCUGAUCCAGCAAUGCCGCGUGUGUGAAGAAGGCCUUCGGGUUGUAAAGCACUUUUGUCCGGAAAGAAAACUUCGGGGCUAAUACCCCUGGAGGAUGACGGUACCGGAAGAAUAAGCACCGGCUAACUACGUGCCAGCAGCCGCGGUAAUACGUAGGGUGCGAGCGUUAAUCGGAAUUACUGGGCGUAAAGCGUGCGCAGGCGGUGCUGUAAGACCGAUGUGAAAUCCCCGGGCUUAACCUGGGAACUGCAUUGGUGACUGCAGCGCUGGAGUAUGGCAGAGGGGGGUGGAAUUCCACGUGUAGCAGUGAAAUGCGUAGAGAUGUGGAGGAACACCGAUGGCGAAGGCAGCCCCCUGGGCCAAUACUGACGCUCAUGCACGAAAGCGUGGGGAGCAAACAGGAUUAGA